CCAAAUAUGUUUUACGUAAUUCAAAAAUAGUCUUUUAAAAUAGAAAACUAAAAAUAAAUUGAAAAUUGAAAACAGAAAACAAAGAUGCAAACCAAAAGCAUCCUUACUUCUCCGUGCCUUUUUUGAGGAGAAAAUGAUCCCUAGCUUACGCUUAGAAUUCAUCAAACGUUAAAAAUACUGCAGCUCUUCUGGUACACACUCCGACGCAGCUACGCAGUGAAAGAUGGAGUUUCUCCCCUAAUAAUUGAUUUUGAGUUCUCUUGGGGAUAAAGAAAUUUAAGCUGUAAGUCUUUCAAUUUUUUCUCCAAUUAUUCAAUUCACUUGUUUUUGUCUACAUUUUUGUAAUGUCGUCAAUUUUCCUGAAAAAACUGAACAUCUCAUUUCAUAAUCUUGAGUUAGAUUUGGGUGAUUUUUUAAUUUUUUUUUUAAAUUUUAACUGCAAAAACUUUUAAAAUAAAUAAAUAUUGUCCCCCUUCAAAUGUACCAUUUAAUAUUUCAUAUGAAUUUAAUUUGAGUGCCUAAAGAGGAUAAUGUUGGAUAAAUCUUAGUUUAAACUAGAGUAUUUUUAGGCUUUAUUUUUGUAUCUUAGACUGUUACGGGGGUAAAUUCGUUAAUUCCACCGUAUAUUUUUGGCUGCUCUAAAGUGUGAUCACUUCCAGGGGCGGAGCUACAUAGAGGCGAGUGUAGGCAUCCGCCUCACCUCAUCUGGGAUUUCUUACAACAAUUGAAGGCAGUGCCUGCAUUGGGAUUUCUGGAGGAUUGGAUUUGCUGGAAACUUGAAGGUUGGAUGCAGGCCCCAACUCGCCAUUGUUGUACUCUUCAAAAGCUUGAACGCAGGCAGAAUGGAAGGGGAGGGAAGGGAAGAUAAGUUUUUACUUGGGCCAAUUUUUAAUGUUUUCUAAAUUUCAACUUCUAAACCUUUUACGUUGGGCUUUUUAUUUAUUUUUAACUGAGGCCCAUAUCCACAUCCAUAGGCUUUUUGUAUUGUGAAAUGAUUAAGCAGACAAACCAAAUUCAGUUAUAGUCACUGUGAAAUAUGGAGAUUUAAUUCACUAGACAUUGUGAAAAUAUUUAUCAUUAUACUUUAAUAUUGUUUCUCAAUAUUUGCUCAAUUUAAAAGUUUACUGUUAUUGUAGCUUCAAUGUUAAUAUGUUUAUAAUUUUAAAAGUUUACUGUUAUUGUACCUUCAAUGUUAAUAUGUUUAUAAUUUUAAAAGUUUAAAUGUUUACCA
rnacentral:lncRNA from 1 species